rnacentral:lncRNA from 1 species
CAGGUAACCUGGCAAGAACUGUACAGAGCAUGGAUCCUGGACCAGAUUUUCAUCCUGGAAGUGGCUAGUGUGAACUGAAUUUAUUGGUGCCUCAGUACAGAGGAUGUAUUAUAGGCCCUGCUAACGUUCCAUCUACCUUCUGGAAAGUGCUUGGGAGCUACAAACAGAAGUACUAUAAUGAACAACAUUGUGUUCCAAUUCCUUCUUAAAUCCAUGCUUUCUGACAUAUUCUUGCAAUGAAUUCCAAAGGUAUAGUCUGAUGCCCAGAAAUAUAAUUGCUAAUACAUAAAGCUGUAGACCACCACAACAACUUUUGCUCCAUGUGCAAAUUAAUAGCAAAACA